rnacentral:rRNA from 1 species
UGGGGAAUUUUGCACAAUGGGGGAAACCCUGAUGCAGCGACGCCGCGUGAUUUAGAAGGCCUUCGGGUUGUAAAAAUCUUUUCUAUGGGAAGAAAAUGACAGUACCAUAGGAAUAAGGACCGGCUAAUUACGUGCCAGCAGCUGCGGUAAUACGUAAGGUCCGAGCGUUGUCCGGAAUCAUUGGGCGUAAAGGGUACGUAGGCGGGUAAGCAAGUUAGAAGUGAAAUCCUGUAGCUCAACUACAGUAAGCUUUUAAAACUGCUCAUCUUGAGAUAUGGAAGGGAAAGUGGAAUUCCUAGUGUAGCGGUGAAAUGCGCAGAUAUUAGGAGGAAUACCGGUGGCGAAGGCGACUUUCUGGCCAUAAUCUGACGCUGAGGUACGAAAGCGUGGGUAGCAAACAGG